rnacentral:rRNA from 1 species
UACGUAGGUGGCAAGCGUUGUCCGGAUUUACUGGGCGUAAAGAGCGCGCAGGCGGUCGUACAAGUCGCGUGUGAAAGCCCCCGGCUCAACUGGGGAGGGUCACGCGAUACUGUUCGACUCGAAGGCAGGAGAGGGAAGCAGAAUUCCCGGUGUAGUGGUGAAAUGCGUAGAUAUCGGGAGGAAUACCGGUGGCGAAGGCGGCAUCCUGGACCAUUACUGACGCUGAGGCGCGAAAGCUAGGGGAGCAAACGGG